rnacentral:rRNA from 1 species
UACAGAGGUCUCAGGCGUUGUUCGGAUUCAUUGGGCGUAAAGGGUGCGUAGGUGGCGGGGUAAGUCAGGUGUGAAAUCUCGGAGCUCAACUCCGAAACUGCACUUGAUACUGCCUUGCUCGAGUACUGGAGAGGAGAUUGGAAUUUACGGUGUAGCAGUGAAAUGCGUAGAUAUCGUAAGGAAGACCAGUGGCGAAGGCGAAUCUCUGGACAGUUACUGACACUGAGGCACGAAGGCCAGGGGAGCAAACAGG